AAAACCUCCUAACCCUCAUUUCUCUUUCUCUCUCUCUUUCAGCCGCCGCAUUCCGGCACCAUCUCUCUCUAUCUUCGUCCUGCAGCCCUCUCUUUCCCGAUGACGCAGCGAACGACGGGGUAAGUCCUCCUAUCCCUCUCCAUCUCUCUUCCCCGCUCUCUCUCUCUCUCUCUCUCUGUACCAGGCAUUGCCGACAGCGUGUUGGGCUCGAAAACAAUGGCGAAUGCGGAGGCAGAGGCCUCGACUCUCUCACUAGGUCUGUUCCUACUUCUCCUUUGGUCAACUUCAGCGUCCCCGGCAUCACCGAAGUCAUUAUUCGACACCGUUUCAUCUUCUAUUACUCUAUUUCAGAGCUCUAUCUUUUGAAAAGGAUUAAAAGCCUCCAAGGUGGGUGUACUCGAAAUUAUUGAGACUCAGAAUCAAUGGAUAGCCAAGUUACUUGAGUGGAAGAGUCGCAACUUGGAUAAAUGUAAUAUCAAUUGUUGUAUCAAAAAUAAAACUUAGUGUAAAUGUGUAGUUUUCAGUUGUACUUAAUAAAUACAAAUAUUCUUUUGAUCAUGUAAUUUUAUCUAUAAAAUUAUGUUGAUUUUUUUUGCUAUA